rnacentral:rRNA from 1 species
UGACUCAACACGGGAAACCUCACCAGGCCCGGACAUUGGAAGGAUUGACAGAUCGAUAGCUCUUUCUCGAUUCAGUGGGUAGUGGUGCAUGGCCGUUCUUAGUUGGUGGACUGAUUUGUCUGGUUAAUUCCGAUAACGAACGAGACUCUAACCUAUUAACUAGGCGUUGCCGGUAUAAAUAGCUACCGGCGAGAUUUAUUCUU